GUGCUUGCUUUGGCAGCACAUAUACUAAAAUUGGAACCAUACAGAGAUUAGUAUGGGCCCUGUGCAAGGAUGACACACAAAUUUGUGAAGUGUUCUAUAUUUUU
ensembl:snRNA U6 U6 spliceosomal RNA